rnacentral:rRNA from 1 species
UGGCUCAUUAAAUCAGUUAUCGUUUAUUUGAUAGUACCUUACUACUUGGAUAACCGUGGUAAUUCUAGAGCUAAUACAUGCUAAAAACCCCAACUUCGGGAGGGGUGUAUUUAUUAGAUAAAAAACCAAUGCCCUUCGGGGCUCCUUGGUGAUUCAUGAUAACUUCUCAGAUCGCAUAGCCUUGUGCUGGCGACGGUUCAUUCAAAUUUCUGCCCUAUCAACUUUCGAUGGUAAGGUAGUGGCUUACCAUGGUUUCAACGGGUAACGGGGAAUUAGGGUUCGAUUCCGGAGAGGGAGCCUGAGAAACGGCUACCACAUCCAAGGAAGGCAGCAGGCGCGCAAAUUACCCAAUUCCGAUGCGGAGAGGUAGUGACAAUAAAUACUGAUACAGGGCUCUUUUGGGUCUUGUAAUUGGAAUGAGUACAAUUUAAACCUCUUAACGAGGAACAAUUGGAGGGCAAGUCUGGUGCCAGCAGCCGCGGUAAUUCCAGCUCCAAUAGCGUAUAUUAAAGUUGUUGCAGUUAAAAAGCUCGUAGUUGAACCUUUGGCCUGGCUGGCAGGUCCGCCUCACCGCGUGCACUUGUCCGGCCGGGCCUUUUCUUCUGGAGAACCGCAUGCCCUUCACUGGGUGUGUUGGGGACCAGGACUUUUACUUUGAAAAAAUUAGAGUGUUCAAAGCAGGCCUUUGCUCGAAUACGUUAGCAUGGAAUAAUAGAAUAGGACGUGCGGUCCUAUUUUGUUGGUUUCUAGGACCGCCGUAAUGAUUAAUAGGGACAGUCGGGGGCAUCAGUAUUCAAUUGUCAGAGGUGAAAUUCUUGGAUUUAUUGAAGACUAACUACUGCGAGAGCAUUUGCCAAGGAUGUUUUCUUUAAUCAGUGAACGAAAGUUAGGGGAUCGAAGACGAUCAGAUACCGUCGUAGUCUUAACCAUAAACUAUGCCGACUAGGGAUCGGGCGGUGUUUCUAUUGUGACCCGCUCGGCA